GACAGAGGGUGCAAACGUUGUUCGGAAUUACUGGGCGUAAAGCGCGUGUAGGCGGCUAAGUAAGUCGGGCGUGAAAUCCCACGGCUCAACCGUGGAAGUGCACUCGAAACUGCAUAGCUAGAGUCCUGGAGAGGAAGGUGGAAUGCUUGGUGUAGAGGUGAAAUUCGUAGAUAUCAAGCGGAACACCGGUGGCGAAGGCGGCCUUCUGGACAGUGACUGACGCUGAGACGGCGAAAGCGUGGGAGCAAACAGGG
rnacentral:rRNA from 1 species